rnacentral:misc_RNA from 1 species
UCUCCGUAGGUGAACCUGCGGAGGGAUCAUUACAGAGUUCCGGCGCUCACGGGCCGAUCUCUCACCCCAGUGUAUUUAUACCCCUGUUGCUUUGGCCGCCCGCCAGGCUCCGACCCGGCCACCGGCCCUGGUGCCGGCGCGCGCCCGCCAGAGGACCGCGAUACUACGGUUAUAUGUGUCGUUCGAGUACUAUAUAGUCGUUAAAAUUUUCAACAACGGAUCUCUAGGUUAUGGCAUAGACGAAGAAGGCAGCCGAUCGGAAGACCACACGUACGAACC